GCUGAUUUCGUGGAGAGCAAGGGGGGAGGGGAUUUCCGCGAAAACUUGACCAAUCUUCGUGCAGUUCGUCCCUACUUCUAGGUAUCAAGUUGAAGGAACUUUGGAAUACUCAGAGCAAUUGUUUGAGGAGAACUUUGUUUGCGAAGCUGGAACAGCUCGAGGCGUCUGUCAGCCGGUUCGUGAUGAUUCGUUGUGCGGGAAAGACCCGGAGCGGAACGACUAUUACUGAAGCUUUCGACGAGGACCCGGACAUCAUGCCUGAUCGAGGGAGGGUCGAUGAUAGUAGUGUGGGGUAUGGGUGGUUAGAGUCUUUUGGAGUUGGUUGUUACUGUAAUAGCUCUGAUUCGUUUUGCUUUUGGGACAGGGUAGGUUCCCGACGCAUGACUUUUCGUGUGGUUCUCUUACUGAGGGAUCACAGUGAGUCAGUUGGACCAUAGGGGUCUUUGCUUAGGCCAUAUUGAGGCCGACUUUCUCCUAGUGGUUUGUAAUCAUAAUUUUCUCACUUACACUUCUGGGUCUGUAUAUAUUUGCCUACGGGCACACUGCUUUGGAGUCACUGUGAGUGUGUGGGACGUGGAAGUGCAGCUGAGGCUGUACAUGUUUAUAUUUGUUGUAUAUCGGUUAGUUGAGUAGUUGGGUUUUGUCUUUACUUCCUUAUCGUUUUGAUUUAAAGGAAAGAAAACGAAAAAAAAUUACCUGUUUU